rnacentral:rRNA from 1 species
UACGUAGGGUGCGAGCGUUGUCCGGAAUUAUUGGGCGUAAAGGGCUCGUAGGCGGUUUGUCGCGUCGGGAGUGAAAUCCACUGGCUUAACUGGUGGCUUGCUUUCGAUACGGGCAGACUGGAGGCAUGCAGGGGAGAACGGAAUUCCUGGUGUAGCGGUGGAAUGCGCAGAUAUCAGGAGGAACACCAAUGGCGAAGGCAGCUCUCUGGUACGUGACUGACACUGAGACGCGAAAGCGUGGGGAGCGAACAGG